GAUGAACGCUGGCGGCGUGCCUAAUACAUGCAAGUCGAGCGAACAGACGAGGAGCUUGCUCCUCUGACGUUAGCGGCGGACGGGUGAGUAACACGUGGAUAACCUACCUAUAAGACUGGGAUAACUUCGGGAAACCGGAGCUAAUACCGGAUAAUAUAUUGAACCGCAUGGUUCAAUAGUGAAAGACGGUUUUGCUGUCACUUAUAGAUGGAUCCGCGCCGCAUUAGCUAGUUGGUAAGGUAACGGCUUACCAAGGCAACGAUGCGUAGCCGACCUGAGAGGGUGAUCGGCCCCACUGGAACUGAGACCCGGUCCAGACUCCUACGGGAGGCAGCAGUAGGGAAUCUUCCGCAAUGGGCGAAAGCCUGACGGAGCAACGCCGCGUGAGUGAUGACGGUCUUCGGAUCGUAAAACUCUGUUAUUAGGGAAGAACAAAUGUGUAAGUAACUAUGCACGUCUUGACGGUACCUAAUCAGAAAGCCACGGCUAACUACGUG
rnacentral:rRNA from 1 species